rnacentral:rRNA from 1 species
AUGAAGAUGGCGACUUGCAUUCGUAAGGUGGCCUUGGAGGAGUUUGAAGUGUCCAGGGGGAGAAGCGAAGAUAAGGAUACCUGGUGGUGGAAUGAUGAUGUCCAGAAGGCGAUUAAAGAGAAGAAAGAUUGCUUCAGAUGCCUAUACCUGGAUAGGAGGGCAGACAACAUAGAGAAAUACAAGAUGGCGAAGAAGGCCGCAAAGCGAGCUGUCAGUGAAGCAAGGGGUCGGGCAUACGAGGACUUCUACCAACGGUUAGGCACGAAGGAAGGAAAAAGGGACAUCUAUAAGAUGACCAAGAUCCGAGAGAGGAAGACGAGGGAUAUUAGCCAAGUCAAAUGCAUCAAGGACGGAGCAGACCAACUCUUGGUGAAGGACGAGGAGAUUAAGAAUAGAUGGCGGGAGUACUUCGACAAGCUGUUCAAUGGGGAGAAUGAGAGUUCUACCAUUGAACUGGACGACUCCUUUGAUGAGACCAGCAUGCGUUUUGUGCGGUGA